AGCCGAAACGCUCCUUCGGGAGCGUCGUCGCAGGGUGUUGCCUGCGGCCUGAUGAUGGCAGACAUCU
rnacentral:hammerhead_ribozyme from 1 species